rnacentral:rRNA from 1 species
UACGAAGGUGGCAAGCGUUGUUCGGAUUUACUGGGCGUACAGGGAGCGUAGGCGGUUGGGUAAGCCCUUCGUGAAAUCUCCGGGCCUAACCCGGAAAGUGCGGAGGGGACUGCUCGGCUAGAGGAUGGGAGAGGAGCGCGGAAUUCCCGGUGUAGCGGUGAAAUGCGUAGAGAUCGGGAGGAAGGCCGGUGGCGAAAGCGGCUCACUGGAUCUCUUCUGACGCUGAGGCACGAAAGCUAGGGUAGCGAACGGG